rnacentral:tRNA from 2 species
GGUGAGAUGGCCGAGUGGUUGAAGGCACUCCCCUGCUAAGGGAGUAUGCGAUGUUCUCGCAUCGAGGGUUCAAAUCCCUCUCUCACCA